rnacentral:rRNA from 1 species
CCUACGGGAGGCAGCAGUGGGGGAUAUUGCACAAUGGGGGGAACCCUGAUGCAGCGACGCCGCGUGGGUGAAGGAGUGCUUCGGCAUGUAAAGCCCUAUCGGCAGGGAAGAAGCAAGACGGUACCUGACUAAGAAGCCACGGCUAACUACGUGCCAGCAGCCGCGGUAAUACGUAGGGGGCGAGCGUUAUCCGGAUUCACUGGGUGUAAAGGGAGCGUAGACGGCCAUGCAAGCCAGGGGUGAAAGCCCGGGGCCCAACCCCGGGACUGCCCUUGGAACUGUGCGGCUAGAGUGCGGGAGGGGCAGGCGGAAUUCCUGGUGUAGCGGUGAAAUGCGUAGAUAUCAGGAGGAACACCGGCGGCGAAGGCGGCCUGCUGGACUGCGACUGACGUUGAGGCUCGAAAGCGUGGGGAGCGAACAGGAUUAGAUACCCCUGUAGUC